AACGAACGCUGGCGGCAGGCCUAACACAUGCAAGUCGAGCGAGGACUUCGGUCCUAGCGGCGGACGGGUGAGUAACGCGUGGGAACGUGCCCUUUGCUUCGGAAUAGCCCUGGGAAACUGGGAGUAAUACCGGAUGAGCCCUUUGGGGGAAAGAUUUAUCGGCGAAGGAUCGGCCCGCGUUGGAUUAGGUAGUUGGUGGGGUAAAGGCCUACCAAGCCGACGAUCCAUAGCUGGUUUGAGAGGAUGAUCAGCCACACUGGGACUGAGACACGGCCCAGACUCCUACGGGAGGCAGCAGUGGGGAAUCUUAGACAAUGGGGGAAACCCUGAUCUAGCCAUGCCGCGUGAGCGAUGAAGGCCUUAGGGUUGUAAAGCUCUUUCAGCUGGGAAGAUAAUGACGGUACCAGCAGAAGAAGCCCCGGCUAACUCCGUG
rnacentral:rRNA from 1 species